GGUUAAGCGACUAAGCGUACACGGUGGAUGCCCUGGCAGUCAGAGGCGAUGAAGGACGUGCUAAUCUGCGAUAAGCGUCGGUAAGGUGAUAUGAACCGUUAUAACCGGCGAUUUCCGAAUGGGGAAACCCAGUGUGUUUCGACACACUAUCAUUAACUGAAUCCAUAGGUUAAUGAGGCGAACCGGGGGAACUGAAACAUCUAAGUACCCCGAGGAAAAGAAAUCAACCGAGAUUCCCCCAGUAGCGGCGAGCGAACGGGGAGCAGCCCAGAGCCUGAAUCAGUGUGUGUGUUAGUGGAAGCGUCUGGAAAGGCGCGCGAUACAGGGUGACAGCCCCGUACACAAAAAUGCACAUGCUGUGAGCUCGAUGAGUAGGGCGGGACACGUGGUAUCCUGUCUGAAUAUGGGGGGACCAUCCUCCAAGGCUAAAUACUCCUGACUGACCGAUAGUGAACCAGUACCGUGAGGGAAAGGCGAAAAGAACCCCGGCGAGGGGAGUGAAAAAGAACCUGAAACCGUGUACGUACAAGCAGUGGGAGCACGCUUAGGCGUGUGACUGCGUACCUUUUGUAUAAUGGGUCAGCGACUUAUAUUCUGUAGCAAGGUUAACCGAAUAGGGGAGCCGAAGGGAAACCGAGUCUUAACUGGGCGUUAAGUUGCAGGGUAUAGACCCGAAACCCGGUGAUCUAGCCAUGGGCAGGUUGAAGGUUGGGUAACACUAACUGGAGGACCGAACCGACUAAUGUUGAAAAAUUAGCGGAUGACUUGUGGCUGGGGGUGAAAGGCCAAUCAAACCGGGAGAUAGCUGGUUCUCCCCGAAAGCUAUUUAGGUAGCGCCUCGUGAAUUCAUCUCCGGGGGUAGAGCACUGUUUCGGCAAGGGGGUCAUCCCGACUUACCAACCCGAUGCAAACUGCGAAUACCGGAGAAUGUUAUCACGGGAGACACACGGCGGGUGCUAACGUCCGUCGUGAAGAGGGAAACAACCCAGACCGCCAGCUAAGGUCCCAAAGUCAUGGUUAAGUGGGAAACGAUGUGGGAAGGCCCAGACAGCCAGGAUGUUGGCUUAGAAGCAGCCAUCAUUUAAAGAAAGCGUAAUAGCUCACUGGUCGAGUCGGCCUGCGCGGAAGAUGUAACGGGGCUAAACCAUGCACCGAAGCUGCGGCAGCGACGCUUAUGCGUUGUUGGGUAGGGGAGCGUUCUGUAAGCCUGCGAAGGUGUGCUGUGAGGCAUGCUGGAGGUAUCAGAAGUGCGAAUGCUGACAUAAGUAACGAUAAAGCGGGUGAAAAGCCCGCUCGCCGGAAGACCAAGGGUUCCUGUCCAACGUUAAUCGGGGCAGGGUGAGUCGACCCCUAAGGCGAGGCCGAAAGGCGUAGUCGAUGGGAAACAGGUUAAUAUUCCUGUACUUGGUGUUACUGCGAAGGGGGGACGGAGAAGGCUAUGUUGGCCGGGCGACGGUUGUCCCGGUUUAAGCGUGUAGGCUGGUUUUCCAGGCAAAUCCGGAAAAUCAAGGCUGAGGCGUGAUGACGAGGCACUACGGUGCUGAAGCAACAAAUGCCCUGCUUCCAGGAAAAGCCUCUAAGCAUCAGGUAACAUCAAAUCGUACCCCAAACCGACACAGGUGGUCAGGUAGAGAAUACCAAGGCGCUUGAGAGAACUCGGGUGAAGGAACUAGGCAAAAUGGUGCCGUAACUUCGGGAGAAGGCACGCUGAUAUGUAGGUGAAGCGACUUGCUCGUGGAGCUGAAAUCAGUCGAAGAUACCAGCUGGCUGCAACUGUUUAUUAAAAACACAGCACUGUGCAAACACGAAAGUGGACGUAUACGGUGUGACGCCUGCCCGGUGCCGGAAGGUUAAUUGAUGGGGUCAGCGCAAGCGAAGCUCUUGAUCGAAGCCCCGGUAAACGGCGGCCGUAACUAUAACGGUCCUAAGGUAGCGAAAUUCCUUGUCGGGUAAGUUCCGACCUGCACGAAUGGCGUAAUGAUGGCCAGGCUGUCUCCACCCGAGACUCAGUGAAAUUGAACUCGCUGUGAAGAUGCAGUGUACCCGCGGCAAGACGGAAAGACCCCGUGAACCUUUACUAUAGCUUGACACUGAACAUUGAGCCUUGAUGUGUAGGAUAGGUGGGAGGCUUUGAAGUGUGGACGCCAGUCUGCAUGGAGCCGACCUUGAAAUACCACCCUUUAAUGUUUGAUGUUCUAACGUUGACCCGUAAUCCGGGUUGCGGACAGUGUCUGGUGGGUAGUUUGACUGGGGCGGUCUCCUCCUAAAGAGUAACGGAGGAGCACGAAGGUUGGCUAAUCCUGGUCGGACAUCAGGAGGUUAGUGCAAUGGCAUAAGCCAGCUUGACUGCGAGCGUGACGGCGCGAGCAGGUGCGAAAGCAGGUCAUAGUGAUCCGGUGGUUCUGAAUGGAAGGGCCAUCGCUCAACGGAUAAAAGGUACUCCGGGGAUAACAGGCUGAUACCGCCCAAGAGUUCAUAUCGACGGCGGUGUUUGGCACCUCGAUGUCGGCUCAUCACAUCCUGGGGCUGAAGUAGGUCCCAAGGGUAUGGCUGUUCGCCAUUUAAAGUGGUACGCGAGCUGGGUUUAGAACGUCGUGAGACAGUUCGGUCCCUAUCUGCCGUGGGCGCUGGAGAACUGAGGGGGGCUGCUCCUAGUACGAGAGGACCGGAGUGGACGCAUCACUGGUGUUCGGGUUGUCAUGCCAAUGGCACUGCCCGGUAGCUAAAUGCGGAAGAGAUAAGUGCUGAAAGCAUCUAAGCACGAAACUUGCCCCGAGAUGAGUUCUCCCUGACCCUUUAAGGGUCCUGAAGGAACGUUGAAGACGACGACGUUGAUAGGCCGGGUGUGUAAGCGCAGCGAUGCGUUGAGCUAACCGGUACUAAUGAACCGUGAGGCUUAACCUU
rnacentral:rRNA from 1 species